rnacentral:lncRNA from 1 species
CUAUGGGGCAGGGCGGACACUUAUGGGGCAGCUAUGGGGCUGAAAGGUCACUUAUGGGGCUGCUAUGGGGCAGGAGGGACACUUAUGGGGCAGAAGAAUUAUUUACGGGGCAUCUAUGGGGCAGGGUGUCUACUUAUGGGGCAGCUAUGGGAACCCACACCGUGUUCCCCCCACAGGUCCCCCACCCACAGACGUCGGCGAUGUCACCUUUGAAAGCCCCCCCCAAGAUAAUGACCCCAAUGUGUGGGGCAGACCCCAAUGUGUGGGGCAGACCCCAAUAUGUGGGGCAGACCCCAAUAUGUGGGGCUGACCCCAAUGUGUGGGGCUUCGGUUUUCCUUGUUUAACCCGAAAUUGUUGUUUUUUCACCCCAAAAUAAAAUGAGAAAUGGUUGGAGAGAUUGUGGGGCUAUGGGGGGGAGAUGUGGGCAGAAAGGGGGGGAGAUGUGGGGCAGAAGGGGGGAUGUGGGGCAGAAGGGGGGAGAUGUGGGGCUGGUGGGGGGAGAUGUGGGGCAGAAGGGGGGGGCAACGAUGUGGGGCAGAUAAGGGGGGGGAAGUGGGCAGAAAGGGGGCGGAGAUUGGGCUGGUGGGGAGAUGUGGGCAGAAGGGGGCGGAGAUUG